rnacentral:rRNA from 1 species
ACCAAAGAAGCAGCCAGCUUGCUGGAAGCGGAAAAGGGAAAGGCUUAGUGGCGGACGGGUGAGUAACGCGUGGGUAACCUGGCCCAUACAGGGGGAUAACACUUAGAAAUAGGUGCUAAUACCGCAUAACAACAGAAAGCGCAUGCUUUUUGUUUGAAAACCAAGGUGGUAUGGGAUGGACCCGCGUCUGAUUAGCUGGUUGGCGGGGUAAAGGCCCACCAAGGCGACGAUCAGUAGCCGGCCUGAGAGGGUGGACGGCCACAUUGGGACUGAGACACGGCCCAAACUCCUACGGGAGGCAGCAGUGGGGAAUAUUGCACAAUGGGGGAAACCCUGAUGCAGCGACGCCGCGUGAGUGAAGAAGUAAUUCGUUAUGUAAAGCUCUAUCAGCAGGGAAGAAAAUGACGGUACCUGAGUAAGAAGCCCCGGCUAACUACGUGCCAGCAGCCGCGGUAAUACGUAGGGGGCAAGCGUUAUCCGGAUUUACUGGGUGUAAAGGGAGCGUAGACGGCAGUGCAAGUCUGGAGUGAAAGGCGGGGGCUCAACCCCCGGACUGCUCUGGAAACUGUACGGCUGGAGUGCAGGAGAGGUAAGUGGAAUUCCUAGUGUAGCGGUGAAAUGCGUAGAUAUUAGGAGGAACACCAGUGGCGAAGGCGGCUUACUGGACUGUAACUGACGUUGAGGCUCGAAAGCGUGGGGAGCAAACAGGAUUAGAUACCCUGGUAGUCCACGCCGUAAACGAUGAUCACUAGGUGUCGGGG